CCCGACCCUUAUCCAUCCAUCCAUCCAUCGCCUUACCUUGCGCCGCGGAGCCGGGGCGGCUGGCCCCCAGGACGGCCAGGGCGGGGAGCACCACCGUCUGCAGCAGAGCCAAGGCAGGCUGUCUGCAGCCAUUACCAGAUCCAGCACCUCGCACACCAGAAAUAUCAGGUGUGAAAGAGUUUGCAUUGGAAAGUGGCUUUAGUAGCCUAACAGCCUUCACUAAGUUUCCAGAACACCUUGGAUUUUCAUAAUAUCUGAAGAGGACCUUCUUGAACUAAAGGAGUUAUACUAAAGAAAGAAUCUUUCAUAAGGAGAACCUAAAAUUUUCUGACCAGUGUGUGACAGUAGGAGGAAAUCUGUUGUAAUGCCUGUAAUGGAAGCCUGGUUGUGUGUUUUCAGUCUUUUUUUCUCCUGGCCUCUUGGUGGCAGGGCAAUUAGAGCUCAAAUGUACAGGGGAAAGCUAUCCCAAUACAGUAAUCAAAGCAAACAUUAUAUAGAUUUUAAUUGCUCCAACAAGAAUGAAGUAUUUGUUAGCUGAAGUAGCUUUAUUGAUUCGAAUGAGGAGAUGUAUUUAUUCUGUUUUGUGCAGUGCUCCAAGCUGUGUAUGCAUUUAAUGCUUAUGAACUCAGAGAUGAAGGACUAGAGAAGUUCUGUGUCAAGCUGUAGAAGAGAAACUGUAUCACUUCCAAAAUGGUUAUUCUAAUGUUCUUUUCAAAAGCCAGUUAUAAUACUUGCAGUUAUCAUUAUCAUCUUAUGAAAGACCUUUAUGUUUCACAAACAGCGUGAUUUGUUUAAAUCACAUAAUUAACAACAUUCUUGACUGUUUAGUAAUAAUUAGUUUGUUUUCAUAGAAAUACUCUGUUUCAUCUAUCUGUAUAGAGGCUGAAAAAUAUAACAAAUAUGCUCAGUCUCAAGGCUGAAGAUGAAAAGUUUAUGAAAAUAAAAAUCACCCACAAUGACAACACGUGAUCCUGUUUUAAGUAUGACCCUUAGCUUCUUAAAGCUCCUGUUAUUCAAUGCUAGAAAGUAACUUGUGUGAUUGGUGUUACCACAGUAGUUUAAAUUGACAGGUUUUUUUCAUCUGAAGACAUUAUUAGGAAUUCAGCUGUGCAUUUCCUCAUGUGCAACACAGACAACAUCAAGCAAAACUUGAAAAAUAAAGAGAAGGCUUCCCUUGCUUCUGAAGUCUAACCAGGAUAACGUGCAUUCCUUGUAACACACACUGAAAAGAAGUUUAAGUUUUGUCCCAAGAAGAUGUAGUUAUUCUACAUCUGCUCUUAUUUCAAAUGAAGUUCUGUAGAGAUUUACAGAAACUGUCUCAGGCCCCUUGGGAAUAAGUUACCUCUGUGAAAAAACCUUGUGCCCUUUCACCUAUAGGACUCUACUGUGAAGAUAAUAGUGAGAGACUUAUUUUGGCUAGGGAGCAUUGAAGGUUAUCUGCAGCUGUCUAAUUUAUUACCACUUCAAUUCAAGACCUACAUUUUUAUUCAUUGUUUCUCUUAUGAGUAACGUUUUGAAAGGUAAUAUCAAAUAAAUGGACCUGUGGCUGUGGCCCAACAAUGCUUUAUGUUAUUAGAUGUCUCAGUUGUUCUGUGUUCAAGGAUGAUUAAAGUAUCUUGAAUGGAGUUUCUUAGUUCAUUUCA